GAUGAACGCUAGCGACAGGCUUAACACAUGCAAGUCGAGGGGCAGCACGGUGUAGCAAUACAUUGGUGGCGACCGGCGCACGGGUGAGUAACGCGUAUGCAACCUACCUAUCAGAGGGGAAUAACCCGGCGAAAGUCGGACUAAUACCGCAUAAAACAGGGGUUCCACAUGGAAAUAUUUGUUAAAGAUUUAUCGCUGAUAGAUAGGCAUGCGUUCCAUUAGGCAGUUGGCGGGGUAACGGCCCACCAAACCGACGAUGGAUAGGGGUUCUGAGAGGAAGGUCCCCCACAUUGGUACUGAGACACGGACCAA
rnacentral:rRNA from 1 species